AUCGCCUAAUUCUCGACCAUCUUACCUGUUUAUAUUAGGGGUCAAUAUAAAUAUAUAGAUGUAGAUAA
rnacentral:tRNA from 1 species